CUGUUCUCGAAUAGACGCAUAAAACACCACCCCUACCACAUCCUGAUCGACCCAGUCGACCUCGUGCCCAGCGCACAACCGUUUACACAUUCCCCACAAUCACACUCGUUAAAAUAGCGGAAAGCCGUCCAGGGCCCCCGUCGACCAACUCGUAUUCCUACCGCAGCGCAAACCAUGCAACUCGAACAAGCCAUCGUCCCCAUGGGGUUCUUUCUGGCGGGCGUCGCCGUCACCGGUCUCGUCGCGCUGGGCGUACUCAUACGCAUAUCGACCACCUUUAGAAUUCCCUUUUGAUCAACAAGACGCUCUGUCGUAUCGUAUUUCCAUGUCUAUCUUCAAAAAAAAUAAAUCCUCUCUUUGACUGA
rnacentral:lncRNA from 1 species